UCAGCUUGAUUCUUGGAGGCUUCUCCUUUUAAUUUUUAUUAUUACUAUUAUUUUUAGGGACUUGAUCUUGCCGUGCUACUCAGGCUGGUUUCAAACUCCUCGCCUAAAGCAAUCCUCCUGCCUCAGCCUCCCAGUGUGUUGGGAUUACAGGAGUGACUCACUGCACCUGGCCGAGGCUUCUAAUGGGAUGUUGCCAACAGCUACUGCUUGACAUGCUUGGGUACAUGAGUGCCUGUGGUUGUGUCUACAAAAAGUAGCAAAGCUGUUUGACCAGGAUGGAGGCCUGUUGAUCAGCAGAAAAGGAAACAUCAUAAGGGAAUGGACCUGGCUUUCAAAGGGAAAACUUGAUAAUCCAGUGGAAAUUUGGUCAUUCCCCGAUAUCAAUUCCAUCUCCGGAGAAGCCAGGGAGUUGUUCAAGGCCUACAAAAUGAAGUGCAAGCAACUGGGAUUCACAACACAGAACUAAAACGCAGCAAUUGUCCUCUUCUGGUUCAAAGGCACAAUCUCAUCCCAGGAAUUUUUUUGAUGCACAUUCGGGCAAAAUUGCCAUUUGCCAACUUAAUUUUCAAUGGCUAUAGCACAUCUGCUGAAGACCUUCAAAAGCAAAUUGUGAAGACAAGGAAUGACUACCAUAUGGGAUAUUUCCUACCCAAUGACUUCAGAAUCCAGUAAUUACACAUAUUCUACCUUAUCUCAUACUUUUAAUUAGAAAAUUCCAGAC
rnacentral:lncRNA from 1 species